UGUGAGCGGUGGUCAGAAGUUAAAAUCGUCUAAAAGCACAUUAUCGACGGGCGCACAUUCAAUAAAAUCACAACUGAUUUGCGCAAAUUUUUACGACUCUGCGUACAAUAUAUUUCCGGUGCAAUCGCUCGUUUGCGCAUACAUUUUUCUUCCCGAUUAUACAGACUUAGGACCGUCAGUGAAUAUUUUAACUUUUCGGGUGUGGUUAAAAAUGUACUUUUGGUGUGCUAUGUGUAUAAAAAUAUUUAUGAUUAAUAAUAUUACACGGUACAAUAAAAUAGUGGGAAAGCAGUCAUUUGAAUUUGUCAUUUAUUUUAACUACUUCAAACGUUCACCUUCGAAGCGGUUCAUGAAUUGUUCAUGCAGACACGUGUACGGUGCACCUAUUCAAUUAUUUGUAUAUUAUUU